rnacentral:rRNA from 1 species
UACGUAGGUGGCUAGCGUUGUCCGGAUUUACUGGGCGUAAAGGGCGCGUAGGCGGCGCAACAAGUCACUUGUGAAAUCUCCGGGCUUAACCCGGAGCGGCCAAGUGAUACUGUCGUGCUAGAGUGCGGAAGGGGCUACUGGAAUUCUCGGUGUAGCGGUGAAAUGCGUAGAUAUCGAGAGGAACACCUGCGGCGAAGGCGGGUUGCUGGGCUGACACUGACGCUGAUGCGCGAAAGCUAGGGGAGCGAACGGG